UAGAAAAUGGCAGGGGGACAUCAGUUGACAGAAUGUGGUUAAGGCAGCAUCUCUGAAGACAUGGCCUUAUGCUGAGGCCUGAAGGAUGAGAAUGAGCAGCAAUGCGGUAGAGUAGACAGCAAGAACAAAGGCCCUGAGGCAGGAAAGAACUUGGCUGAUCCCUACGGCUGAAGGCUUACAUGGCUACAGAGUUGUGAGUGAAAGUGGGGACCAUGUCUGACAUUGAAAAGAAAGGCCAGGACCAGGCAGCCAAUGUUUACGCAAGGCACUAUGUAAACCUCACAAAGGCAGAUCGUGUUGGGGCUUCCCAAUAGGACAGUCUGGAGACAUGAGGAGCCGCAAGAGUGAAAGUCUGUGUUAAUAGGCGAGGACGCAGGGGGUGGCCGGGGACCCAUCGCAGUCCCUCUGGAGAGGACGUUUCCCACGCCAGGGAACAGCAGACAGAGCCUGCAGUUGGGAGACGUGUGAAGGACCAGAGUGACGGCACGGAGCCGCAUUCCGGCUGCUGCCAGAGAGCCGGCCGCCAGUGCUGCGGCACAGACACCUGCAAAGGAAGGCGGUGGCCUUUUCUCUGACACUCUUCUCCUGAGCGCAGCCUAGAGGGGGCCAGCACAGGAGUGAGACAGUGGGAGAGCUGUGGAAGGAGAAUAAAAGCAGAAGUGGACAGAGGGUGAGGAAGCCAAUCUCAUCCUACUUCCAGCCUCUGGGACCGAGUAGGCAUCCAGCUCCCUCGUGGGGGACCAGUGAACUUGCUUGUCAAAUGCCUCUUUAAAAAGCGAGAGAAGAUAAUUGCAAGUCAGCUGGAAGUGAUGCCCAGACACAACCUACAGGAAGGCCCAGAAGACAAGUGAUACCGUGCAGACUGCUACCAUGCAAUGUCUGACUGAUGUAAAAUGAAGAAUCAAUUUGAAAUUAAUAUGAGUAAAAGCAACAAGCACUAACAGUCACAGCACGAGGCAUUGUCACCGACCCUUCCCUUCCCAUCCCCUUUGACCUGUUGGACUCCAGCUCGUGAAAGCUGUCAUCCUCCAAGGACAUCCCGAGUGCAGCGCAGCAUCUCUAUUAGCACAGUGUCUCUGUUACCCUUAGAAUUCAACAAUACCGAUCUUCUCCAACAUUUGUUCAUUCAUUUGGUCAAAAGUUAGCCAUCAAAUGCAAGGCACAAGUGCAAAUUCAAGGACUUUAUGGCCAAUAUUCUGCAUGAUAUUGACCACAGAUUGUCUGCAGGCACAUAAACCUGCGGUGGUGAUGCUAACCUGACAGACAUGGCACACAAGUAAAUUGGGGGGGAGUGACUGUGAGCCCAGAAGUUCUCAUUUUUCCACAUUCUGCAGGGUAUCCUGUAGACCCCUUGAAAAGUAAUUUUUUUAGAGAGUGUGAAUGUUAAUUUACUCUCACCCUCAAGUAAGGGAUCUUUCUCCAUUUAUAAAAGAGAAACAGUGACUAUUCUAGAUAAUAGAGCAUAGCAAGAAUUCUCAAACUAGUAUUAUUAAUACAACUCUAUUUCUAUGUACCACAAAGAUAACGUGUAAGCAUGUGUCUCUGGAAGACUUGAGAGCUUUGCCUUUCUUUUCUUCCUUGUCUCUCUAAAGGCAAAAAGCAUUGUUAUCUUGCUGGAGUAUAAUCGAAAGAGAGCCCGAUUUGGAACAAGGAGCCCUGAGUUUUCAACUGUCCUUUGUUACUUAAAAGCUAACAUUAGGAAAAUUGUUUAACUUCUUCAUGCU